UCGACACUCAACUUGCGGGCCUACACGGACACCGACUGGGCCGGCUGCCCCGACACACGGCGAUCUACCUCGGGGUACUGCGUCUACCUCGGCGACACCCUGAUCUCCUGGUCGUCCAAACGGCAGCCCACCGUCUCCAGAUCGAGCGCCGAGGCUGAGUAUCGCGGCGUCGCCAACGCUGUGGCCGAGUGCAUCUGGCUCCGGCAACUCCUCGGCGAACUCCGGUGCUCCGUCAAGACUGGUGCACUGGUCUACUGCGACAACAUCUCGGCCGUGUACCCCUCCAGCAACCCCAUCCAUCAUCGGCGCACCAAGCAUGUCGAACUCGACAUACAC
rnacentral:rRNA from 1 species